rnacentral:lncRNA from 1 species
AUCACUUAUCUUUUUCCUCAUCACCGCUCUCUCUUGUAUCAUCACCUUUAUCAUCAUAUUGAUCACUUCUUUCUCCACUUCAUGCUCUUUCUCUCUAAUCUAAUCUUCUUGAGGUGUAUGCUCUACUAAAUUUGGAGCAUCCAUCUUCCUGCAAAAAUAUUAAAUAAGCCGAAGACUUCUCACAGUAACAAUAAAUCUAAUUUCACAUUUACAACCAUUCGAAAGUCAUACUAAGACAUUAAUUAAAUAUAUAGCAAAGUUGCAAGAUUGAGAAUCAAAUUAGGAUAUCAAAUUAUUAUUGCUAAGACAUUCGUAUAGUUCACAAACAUAUCAUAUUUCUAGUAUUUUGAUUUAGAGCUCAUAUUAAUACAUGGCGGAAAUAUGGAUAUGCCCAAUAACUAUAGCAAGGUAUCUGAGCCACAUCUGCAUUCUUGCAAUAAUUCAAAAAACUCCAACAAAAUAAAACUCCAACAUGUAUGUAACAUCUGUGUUCUUGCAAUAACUCAAAAAACUCCAUCAAAAUAAAAAAUGCAGCAACAAGAUUGGAUGAUCACAUCAUCAAGCAAUUGAGACUUGUUAAACCAAAUCUAACCCCGCUAGCAGACGGCAGAUGGAGGAGAGGGCGACGCCGCGGUGGGGUAUUGGCGACUGGUGGCGGGCGACGAGCGACAUUAGCAGACGACAGAUGGAGGAGAGGCGACGCCGCGGCGGGGUGCUGGCGACUGGGGACGAGCGAUGUUAGCUGCUGGCGAGUGGCGACGGGCAGCGCCGCGGCGGAGAAGAGAUGCAGCCUGCAGGCGCGGCGUGCGCGUGGAGAAGAAAGAGAGAAGGUUUUUUUUUUCAGAUUUGAAAGUGGAGACUGGAGGAGCGGCGCGGCGCCUUAGUUAGAAGUUUAGAAUUAGGGUUAGAUUUUUUUAUUUUUUUUAAGAAGGGUUAAAAAGUUACUAUUAUAAAAAUUAUAAUUAAAAUAUAAUAUUAU